CCUACGGGUGGCAGCAGUGGGGAAUAUUGGGCAAUGGGCGCAAGCCUGACCCAGCAACGCCGCGUGAAGGAAGAAGGCUUUCGGGUUGUAAACUUCUGUUCUGAGGGACGAAGAAAGUGACGGUACCGCAGGAAUAAGCCACGGCUAACUACGGGCCAGCAGCCGCGGUAAUACGUAGGGGGCAAGCGUUAUCCGGAUUUAUUGGGUUUAAAGGGCGGGGAGGCGGGAACGCAAGUCAGAGGUGAAAACUCAGGGCUAAACCCUGAGCCUGCAUUGGAAACGGUUUUUCUUGAGUGCUGGUGAGGCAAUCGUAAUUCCUUGUGUAGCUGUGAAAUUCGUCGAUAUCCGGC
rnacentral:rRNA from 1 species